UGCAGUCGAGCGAACAGAUAAGGAGCUUGCUCCUUUGACGUUAGCGGCGGACGGGUGAGUAACACGUGGAUAACCUACCUAUAAGACUGGGAUAACUUCGGGAAACCGGAGCUAAUACCGGAUAACAUAUUGAACCGCAUGGUUCAAUAGUGAAAGGCGGCUUUGCUGUCACUUAUAGAUGGAUCCGCGCCGUAUUAGCUAGUUGGUAAGGUAACGGCUUACCAAGGCAACGAUACGUAGCCGACCUGAGAGGGUGAUCGGCCACACUGGAACUGAGACACGGUCCAGACUCCUACGGGAGGCAGCAGUAGGGAAUCUUCCGCAAUGGGCGAAAGCCUGACGGAGCAACGCCGCGUGAGUGAUGAAGGUCUUCGGAUCGUAAAACUCUGUUAUCAGGGAAGAACAAAUGUGUAAGUAACUGUGCACAUCUUGACGGUACCUGAUCAGAAAGCCACGGCUAACUACGUGCCAGCAGCCGCGGUAAUACGUAGGUGGCAAGCGUUAUCCGGAAUUAUUGGGCGUAAAGCGCGCGUAGGCGGUUUUUUAAGUCUGAUGUGAAAGCCCACGGCUCAACCGUGGAGGGUCAUUGGAAACUGGAAAACUUGAGUGC
rnacentral:rRNA from 1 species